rnacentral:tRNA from 1 species
GCCUUCGUGGUGUAAUGGUCAGCACACUGAGCCGGUAUUUCAGAGGUCCGUGGUUCGAUUCCCGGAAAAGGAA